GACGAACGCUGGCGGCGUGCUUAACACAUGCAAGUCGAACGGAAAGGCCCUGCUUUUGUGGGGUGCUCGAGUGGCGAACGGGUGAGUAACACGUGAGUAACCUGCCCUUGACUUUGGGAUAACUUCAGGAAACUGGGGCUAAUACCGGAUAGGAGCUCCUGCUGCAUGGGGGGGGUUGGAAAGUUUCGGCGGUUGGGGCUGGACUCGCGGCUUAUCAGCUUGUUGGUGGGGUAGUGGCUUACCAAGGCUUUGACGGGUAGCCGGCCUGGGAGGGUGACCGGCCACAUUGGUACUGCGGUACGGCCCAGACUCCUACGGGAGGCAGCAGGGGGGAAUAUUGCACAAUGGGCGGAAGCCUGAUGCAGCAACGCCGCGUGCGGGAUGACGGCCUUCGGGUUGUAAACCGCUUUCGCCUGUGACGAAGCGUGAGUGACGGUAAUGGGUAAAGAAGCACCGGCUAACUACGUG
rnacentral:rRNA from 1 species